GAUGAACGCUAGCUACAGGCUUAACACAUGCAAGUCGAGGGGAAACGAUAGAGAAGCUUGCUUUUCAGGCGUCGACCGGCGCACGGGUGAGUAACGCGUGAGGAACCUGCCUCAAAGAGGGGGACAACAGUUGGAAACGACUGCUAAUACCGCAUAAGCCCACGGGUCGGCAUCGACCAGAGGGAAAGGAGCAAUCCGCUUUGAGAUGGCCUCGCGUCCGAUUAGCUAGUUGGUGAGGUAACGGCCCACCAAGGCGACGAUCAGUAGGGGUUCUGAGAGGAAGGUCCCCCACAUUGGAACUGAGACACGGUCCAAACUCCUACGGGAGGCAGCAGUGAGGAAUAUUGGUCAAUGGACGAGAGUCUGAACCAGCCAAGUAGCGUGAAGGAUGACUGCCCUAUGGGUUGUAAACUUCUUUUAUACGGGAAUAAAGUGAGGCACGUGUGCCUUUUUGUAUGUACCGUAUGAAUAAGGAUCGGCUAACUCCGUG
rnacentral:rRNA from 1 species